CUUGUUUUCUGACUGUCUAGGCGAACGACAAGCUCAAAUGAUUACUGUUGGCUGUUUACAACAGUAUGAAAUUUGCUAAAAUGCUAUACUGGGCUACUGUUUUGAUAUUCGGAUGUAUUAUGUUGUCGUCUGCUUGCAAACUUUCCAUUUCCCAUUAUAAAGGAGAUCUGGUCAGUAACCAAAAACUAUUAAAGAGAAUCUUCGAAGCCGAGAACAGGCUGAAAACAACACUUGAAAGUCGUGAAAAGAUGAUCAAACAAAUUCUGGAAAACCGGUGUGAAGGUAAUAAUCGUUUGGAAGAUGUGUCUUACAAUAAAAUGACAGGUCAAAGUUCAGUGGUUGGUCGAUUCUCUUCAAGAAAUGGCGUUGACGGCGAUCUAUCUACAAUGUUUCAUACGAAAUUAGACAAGAAGCCAUAUUGGUGGGUAGAC